rnacentral:rRNA from 1 species
GACGAACGUUGGCGGCGUGCUUAAUACAUGCAAGUCAACUGAAGCAGUGGUAGCAAUAUCGCUGUGGAGGUGGCGCACGGGUGAGUAACACGUAGGUAAUCUGCCUUCAGGUCUGGCAUAACUCCGGGAAACCGGGGCUAAUAGCAGAUGAUGCAGCGGCUCGACAUCGAGACAGUUGUUAAAGCUAUGGCGCCUGAAGAUGAGCCUGCGUCUGAUUAGCUAGUUGGCGGGGUAACGGCCCACCAAGGCAACGAUCAGUAGCUGGUCUGAGAGGAUGAUCAGCCACACUGGAACUGAGACACGGUCCAGACUCCUACGGGAGGCAGCAGUAAGGAAUAUUGCUCAAUGGGAGAAAUCCUGAAGCAGCAACGCCGCGUGAGGGACGAAGGGCUUUGGCUUGUAAACCUCUGUAGUGAGGGAAAAAAAUCCCAAUCUUUGGGACAUGAUGGUAUCUCAAAAGUAAGCCCCGGCUAACUACGUG